AGCGAACGCUGGCGGCAGGCCUAACACAUGCAAGUCGAGCGGCCGUAGCAAUACGGCAGCGGCAGACGGGAGAGUAACACGUGGGAACGCGCCCUUCGGUUCGGAAUAACUCAGGGAAACUUGAGCUAAUACCGGAUACGCCCUAACAGGGAAAGAUUUAUUGCCGAAGGAACGGCCCGCGUCCGAUUAGCUAGUUGGUGAGGUAACGGCUCACCAAGGCGACGAUCGGUAGCUGGUCUGAGAGGAUGACCAGCCUCAUUGGGACUGAGACACGGCCCAAACUCCUACGGGAGGCAGCAGUGGGGAAGUAUUGGACAAUAGGGCGGCAAGCCUGAUCCAGCCAUGCCGCGUGGA
rnacentral:rRNA from 1 species